rnacentral:snRNA from 1 species
AUACUCUGGUUUCCCUUCAGAUCAUAUAAAUCUUUUACCUUUUGCUAAAGAUUUCUGUGGACAGAGAC